rnacentral:rRNA from 1 species
CAGCCGCCGCGGUAAUACGGAGGGUGCGAGCGUUAAUCGGAAUAACUGGGCGUAAAGGGCACGCAGGCGGUGACUUAAGUGAGGUGUGAAAGCCCCGGGCUUAACCUGGGAAUUGCAUUUCAUACUGGGUCGCUAGAGUACUUUAGGGAGGGGUAGAAUUCCACGUGUAGCGGUGAAAUGCGUAGAGAUGUGGAGGAAUACCGAAGGCGAAGGCAGCCCCUUGGGAAUGUACUGACGCUCAUGCGCGAAAGCGUGGGGAGCAAACAGGAUUAGAUACCCCCGUAGUCCCUGUCUCUUAUAC